rnacentral:misc_RNA from 1 species
AAGUCGUAACAAGGUUUCCGUAGGUGAACCUGCGGAAGGAUCAUUAAUGAAAGCUUGAGCGAGGUUGUAGCUGGCUGCUGUCCCCCUUGGGGGGGUGGUGGCAAUGUGUAAUGUGUGUGCACGCCUUGUCUCUCUGUCUUCAUCCCUUCACCCCCUUGUGCACCUCCGCGUUGGGUUUUCCGAGUGUUGAUUGUCCUUCACUCGGGGCUCACGUCCUUUUUCCACAAAGCACACAAACCCCCCCUAUUGCAUGUGUAUCGGAACAUUUGAUGUGCCCACAGUGGCAUAUAAAAUGACCUGUACAA